UUGGCGGUGUGUGACCGAUAUAUCGUUACGGAUUUUGUCGUAUUUGCGUUUCCCCAACGUUUCACUUCGUGCAUCCGCUUCUUGUCGCGUUUUCACAAUGUGCGUGAUUUGUUGUCGUUAAUCGUAAAUAUAUCAAAGAACUACAAUGAAAAUAUUCAUUUUCAAGAUAGUCAUAGCGAAAAUGAUACCCAUCAAUGGAUUAAAGUAAAUUCAAGUUGUUUUGUCAAGUGCAAAAUCGAAUAAAUAGCAGCCAUACAAAUAUAUCUAUGCAAUGUGGACUAUGCAAUGCAAAUAAAAUCAAUAAAAAUAAAUAAAAACAAAAAAAAA
rnacentral:sRNA from 1 species